ACUUCUUAGAUGGACAAACGGUUUUUCCAGCCGUGGGAAGUUAAGCAAUAACAGGUCUGUGAUGCCCUUAGAUGUUCGGGGCUGCACGCGCGCUACAUUAGCGGAAUCAGCGCGUGGGAUCACCUAACCCGAAAGGGUAUGGUAAUCUGGUGAAAAUCCGUUGUAACUGGGAUAGAGAUUUGAAAUUAUCUCUCUUGAACGAGGAAUCCCUCGUAAGUGCAGGUCAUCAGCUUGCGCUGAUUACGUCCCUGCCCUUUGUACUGAGCG
rnacentral:rRNA from 1 species